CCACUCACUGACCUACUGCCACUUCCUGAAACUAAAAAAUUCCUUUAACCAAACCCAAACUAAAACCAAAAAUAUUCAAGCAAUAAGGAUAAAUGGAAAAAAAUUGCAGCAGUAAUAUUAAUCCCUGUGUUAACUUUAAUCAUCUCUUUUCUCAUCUGAAACAAGUCUCACAACAUUUAUGAUAGCAUUUUUUUUUGCUGCAUUAUAUUUACAACAGAGUGUUGUAUUUAUCUACAGAAUCUCUGCAGUAAGGAGAUGCUGGUUCUGAACUCACAUCCAAGUGACUCUAAUUGCUUGAAAAGCAGACUCACCAUCAGGAGCCAGAGUAGGAGCAGGAGUAGCAGGAGCAGGAGGAGCAGGAGCAGGAGCAGGAGCAGGAGCAGGAGCAGGAGCAGGAGCAGGAGCAGGAGCAGGAGCAGGAGAAGGAGCAGGAGCAGGAGCAGGAGCAGGAGCAGGAGCAGGAGCAGGAGGAGUAAUGGCUGCUUGGGGUGAAACACGAGGCUGCAAAAUAUCUGUUCAGUGAAAGUAAGUAUUAAGACACAAGGAAGUGCACCGAACAAAAAUGGUUAUGGUUGAAAGGAAAGGCUAUUACAAAAUGAUAAUGGUUUAAAACAGAAUGGAAAAAAAAGGAUUCUAUUAAAAAAAAAUAAUUAAAACUAAAAAGAAAGCAAUUAAAAGAAGUACUAAAAAAAAAUCAAAAAGCAAAUACCCAAAAAACCACACACCUCAACCACGCCCUAAAACCAAAGAAUUCAAAGCAACCAGACAUCCCAACCCAAACUAAAUCCAAAGAAAGAAAAAAAGAAAAGGGGACUAAUAGAAAACACCAUUAAAAUGGUAAUUUUAAUCCCACUGUUACCUUCAUCAACCACUUUCUCUUCUGAAAAACGUCUCAGGACAUUUCUCUUAGCAUCAGUUUUAUUGCUCCUUUAUCUUCACAAUUAGGUAUUGUUGUAUUUGCCUGCAGAACCUGUGCAGCAUGACGAGCGAUGCUGGCUCUGAACUCAUAUCCAAGUGACUCAAAUGCU
rnacentral:lncRNA from 1 species